GCACUAUUGGUCUAAAGGCUAUGAUUUCUGGCUUCCAACCAGACGAUACGAGUUCGAUUCUCGUAUAGUGCU
rnacentral:tRNA from 1 species